rnacentral:tRNA from 3 species
GAGUGUGCAGCUUUGUGGCCUUAGUUUUGCAAAAACUAUUGAGAAAUUUAUUGAUUUCCACACUUU